rfam:Phlebotomus papatasi Contig69726.1, whole genome shotgun sequence.
CAAAAAGCCCUUUUCAGGGCUACUCCACCUACAAAUAACGCUGCAU